GGGGUUGUAGCUCAGUGAUAGAGCACUUGUCUAGGAAGUGUGAGGCAGUGAGUUCGAUUCUCAGCUCCA
rfam:Ictidomys tridecemlineatus contig010517, whole genome shotgun sequence.